GCAGGCGCCCAGGGGCCCUGCCCCGCGCUCGGAGCUGGUGACCUUUGCCUACCUGAGCCCCCUGGUGCUGCGCAAGGAGUUGGAGAGCCUGCUGGAGAACGAGGGCAGCGACUUCCUGGCCCAGCCGGAGCUGGUGGACAGCCAUCCCAUAAUAUACUGGAACCUGGUCUGGUAUUUCCGGCGCCUCGGCCUGCCCAGCAACCUGCUGCAGCUGGUGCCGGCCUCCCAGCACCUCCGGCCCGCGCCCCAGGCCCAGGCCCCCGAGGGCCCCCCGGUGUGCGUGCGCCUGCUCUGGGAUGUCCUGACCCCAGACCCCGACAGCUGCCCCCCCCCUCUAUGUGCUCUGGAGGGUCCACAGGAACAGCGCUGCCCGGCCUCAGUCCUGGCGGUGCCCCAGCAGCCCCUUCUCGCUGGCGUUCCUGGAGGCCGUGCUGAGCCACGUAGGGCUGGGCGAGAUGCAUAAGGCCAUCGCCCUCUUCCUGCAGACCCUGGCCGCGGAGCCCA